UCUGGUAUGAAAGGUUUGACGAGAUAUUAACUGUUUCAUAAAAAUUUAUAGUAGAAUUUUAUUUUUUAGUCAAAAAGCUAAAAUUUAUUUAAAAGACGAGAAGACCCUAUAAAUCUUUAUAUUUAAGUUAUUAUAAUUGUAUAGAUUUUUUUUGUUAUAAUAAUUAAUAAUAUUUUAUUGGGGUGAUAUUAAAAUUUAAUGAACUUUUAAUUAUUAAGAACAUUAAUUUAUGAAUAAUUGAUCCAUUAUUAGUGAUUAAAAAAAUAAGUUACCUUAGGGAUAACAGCGA
rnacentral:rRNA from 1 species